ACACUUCCUCAUUUUUAAAGGGCUGACAAACAGGCGUCCUUUUCUGAGUCUGUAACUCAGGCUUAGGAUGGUGAGAUAAUAUGUAACAGUUGGGUUACGAAAAAAAGCAGGUGAUUUCCAAUUCUGUCUGGGACCUUGUACAGUUCUGAAGGAUCCAUGGGCAGCGACUAAAUGCCAUUUUCCGUGUCAAUUCAAGUAUCGUUCCUUUUAAUUUGUCUUUGGGCUUUGCACACUCAGACUCCAUUUGCUUUUGUUUACUGUUAACAGAAGCUGCAACAUUCAUGCAGAAAUAAUCAUGGACUUGGCUGGUAGAACACAAGGAAGAAGAGAAAAGGGAAACAGAAAACCCCUCUGUCAUUUGACUGUUCUGUCAGCAUGAAAACUACUAGGUUUCUUCUCAGCUUAAAGAGCAAUUUUAAAGGAUGCUGUAGUGUGCCAGUAUUUGAAAAAUCCCAAUGUAUCUGAUUCACUGCUGCUGCAGAAUAUUUUCCAAGCUCUGAAUGUAUAUUACAAUUAUUCGGGCCAGGUGAAAUGCCUGAAUAUUUCAGAGACAGCAACUAGCAGUCUGGGA
rnacentral:sRNA from 1 species